AAUGGGCGAAAGCCUGAUCCAGCAAUGCCGCGUGAGUGAUGAAGGCCUUAGGGUUGUAAAGCUCUUUUACCAGGGAUGAUAAUGACAGUACCUGGAGAAUAAGCUCCGGCUAACUCCGUGCCAGCAGCCGCGGUAAUACGGAGGGAGCUAGCGUUGUUCGGAAUUACUGGGCGUAAAGCGUGCGUAGGCGGCUAUUCAAGUCAGAGGUGAAAGCCUGGAGCUCAACUCCAGAACUGCCUUUGAAACUAGAUAGCUAGAAUCUUGGAGAGGUGAGUGGAAUUCCGAGUGUAGAGGUGAAAUUCGUAGAUAUUCGGAAGAACACCAGUGGCGAAGGCGACUCACUGGACAAGUAUUGACGCUGAGGUACGAAAGCGUGGGGAGCAAA
rnacentral:rRNA from 1 species